UCCUCCUCCUCAUCACUCCUCUUUUCUCCACCUUAAUCCAGGUGGUCCUUUGGCUUUUUUGAGUGGCUGGUACAGGGAGGAUUAUUCUUCUUCUUUCGUGUUUCUGGUGAAGACAAAGCUCCCAGAAGGACACUUUGAUGUUCUCCAUCCAGGACAGCCUCCCCCGGGGGGCCCUGACCAUGAAGGAGGAGCCGCUCCCCACCGGCAUGACCCCGGUCCGCUCCUGGAUGCAGGGCGCAGGGAUUUUGGACGCCAACACAGCGGCCCAGAGCGGUGUGGGUUUAGCCCGAGCGCACUUCGAGAAGCAGCCUCCGUCCAACCUGAGGAAGUCCAACUUCUUCCACUUCGUGCUGGCGCUCUACGACAGGCAGGGUCAGCCGGUCGAGAUCGAGAGGACUUCCUACGUAGACUUUGUGGAGAAAGACAAGGAGUACAACGGAGAGAAGACCAACAACGGGAUCCACUACAGGCUACAGCUCCUCUACAGCAACGGCAUCAGGACGGAACAGGAUCUCUUUGUUCGGCUGAUAGACUCCAUGACCAAACAGGCCAUCCUGUACGAAGGUCAGGACAAGAACCCAGAGAUGUGUCGCGUCCUCCUCACCCACGAGAUCAUGUGCAGUCGGUGUUGUGACAAGAAGAGCUGCGGAAACCGCAACGAGACGCCCUCCGACCCCGUCAUCAUCGACAGAUUCUUCCUCAAGUUCUUCCUCAAGUGCAAUCAGAACUGUUUGAAAAAUGCAGGAAACCCACGAGACAUGAGGAGGUUCCAGGUGGUGGUUUCCACCACGGUCAACGUGGACGGUCACGUGCUGGCGGUGUCAGACAACAUGUUCGUCCACAACAACUCCAAACACGGCCGCCGCGCCCGACGCCUGGACCCCUCCGAAGCAGCUACGCCCUGCAUCAAAGCCAUCAGCCCGAGCGAGGGCUGGACGACCGGCGGCGCCACCGUCAUCCUCAUCGGGGACAACUUCUUCGACGGCCUGCAGGUCGUCUUCGGCACCAUGCUGGUCUGGAGCGAGCUGAUCACCCCUCACGCCAUCCGGGUCCAGACUCCCCCUCGCCACAUCCCCGGGGUCGUGGAGGUCACGCUGUCCUACAAAUCCAAACAGUUCUGCAAAGGAGCGCCAGGACGCUUCGUCUACACCGCCUUGAACGAGCCGACCAUCGACUACGGCUUCCAGAGGUUACAGAAGGUCAUCCCUCGCCACCCCGGGGACCCCGAGAGGUUACCUAAGGAGGUGCUGCUGAAGCGAGCAGCCGACCUGGUGGAGGCUCUUUAUGGGAUGCCGCACAACAACCAGGAGAUCAUCCUGAAGCGGGCGGCCGACCUCACCGAGGCGCUCUACAGCGUCCCUCGCAGUCACAACCAGCUGCCGUCUCUCACCGGCUCGGCCGCUCACUCGGGGAUGAUGGGAGUGAACUCGUUCAGCAGUCAGCUCGCCGUCAACAUCUCCGAGGCCUCGCAGGCCGACCAGGGUUACUCCCGUAACUCGAACAGCGUGUCUCCUCGCGGCUACGUGCCGAGCUCCACGCCUCAGCAGUCCAACUACAACACCAUCACGUCCACCAUGAACGGAUACGGAGCGGGGAUGACCAACCUGGGCGUACCUGGAUCCCCCAGCUUCCUCAACGGCUCCACCAACUCUGCUUACGCAAUCAAACAGAAGAGCGCCUUCGCCCCUGUCGUGCGGCCACAGACCUCCCCGCCCCCCACCUGCACCACCACCAAUGGCAGCAACCUCCAGGCUAUGGCAGGUCUCAUCGUCCCGCCCAUGUGAGGACGACUCUCAGCCAGAUACCGUCAGACACCCCCUACCCCCCAGCGCUGAUGGCCACCGCCCACCUGAAACGCCACAACAACAGCAGCGAGAAACCCAUCCCAUCAUCCCCCUGUGACCCAGAAUCCACCCCUGCAGCAGAAGAUCAAGUCUGACUCUUCGUCUUCGCUGUGGGACUUCACCCCGCUGACGGCUGAAGCCACCGCAGACCGCUAAACGGGAAGUGUCUUCUCAAAGACGUCUGCGGUGGCUCCACGUCCAGGCGGCGCUCCUUCACAGGAGGUCAAAGUUCUGUUCUGCGGGCGUGCCGAGUGGUGGAUUUUAACCAGAAGAGGCUUGCAGCAGUUUUAAUCACAUUUAGGUACCAGAUCUUCUUGUUAUCCUUCUGAUUGUGCUUAUUUUAUAUAUGUAUUUAUAAUAAAGUCUGUUUUGGGGAGUUCCUUUUGUGAUUUUAGGCCUGAAUGAUAGUCGCAAAUAUAUAUGUAAACACAUUUGAUGUCUUAAUACCUUUUAGAUAUUGUAAAAAGAGUGAACAAGUGAGAAGAAUUAACCCUUUUUGUAAAAACAAACAAAAAAAACUGUCAUGACUUGGUCGCCCUGUUUUUCAAAGCAGGACGUAAAAAAAAAAACAGCUUUCAUCACCACUUUUGUACAAAAAUGCUUUUCCGAUACAAUAUUUAACUUUUUGUAAACAGCAUCACUUGUGUUCUUCUCGUCCUUUGUGUAUUAUUGUGAAAUGUAUAAUCAUGGUUAUUUCUUAAUGCACUAUUUUCGUUUGGGGCACUUAAUAAUAAUAAUAAUAAGAACAAUGCAUCUUAGCAAAAAAGAAAAAACGGCUAAAGUAUAAAAAAAAGACGAAAGCUAGAACGAAAUGCACCGAUAUGUUUUUUUUCUGCCGUUCUGAAACGGCAGAAAUCCUCGUCAUGUGAAAUUUUUCUAUUUCAGAAGCUUAUAACGUCAUAAUAUUCCUCCACUCUUACUUUUGGACCGAGCGUUCUCUCUUGGUUUCGGUGUUUAGAAGACGAUAUUUUAUCCAUCCUUAAUAUUAGAGCCGGCCCUCGUCUUUGUGUUUCUUGGUGAGAAUGAUUGUACGCUUUUUAAAAACAGGCAGCAGAUUUUAAAACCACUCCGAGAAUGGAGGCUUCUUUUUCUUUGGGGGUGGGGUGGGGGGGUCGCUGAUCUCAAGGAAACUUCCAUCGAUGCCGGUGUUGUCGUUGACGGUGCUGUUCACGUCGUCGCACACGAUCUGGAUCAUUAACUUAUGCAACUGUGUUCCUGUUCUGCACCGCGAGCUCGUCUUCCACGCUGCCGUGGGAAAGUCUGGAAAAUUAAAAGUCAUAUUCGAUGCCUUACAAUUGACCACGCUUCAACUCUGAGUCUUAGUCCCGCAGGUGGCUUCUGUUGAGUUUGUAAUUAGUUUAGUUAAAUUAAUGAGUUUUGUUUUUGUACCAAACGUUUGUCCCUCAGGUUCCCCACAAAAAACUAAAAGCUCUGUUAGCAGUUAGCCUUCCAAUAGCAUCAGCUGUUGGUUCAGUGAAAAACGUAAAAGAUUAAACUCCCUGACAGCGCCCCCAAACCACUAAUUAAGGUACUGCAACACAGUCUGGGAGUUCACUACAGACAAAAACCAAGACUUUAUCUAGUAUUUAUUACUAAUUAAGUAUUAUUAUUAUUAUAAUUUGACAUCUUGUAAUCAAAAGAAAUAACAAAAAAACCACGAUUAAGAUAAAAAUUUUACAUCAAAUUACAUGAAAACUCAAUUACUGCAUCAUCACCAAAUAAAUCUAAUAAUUAAAAGACUGAUCUGUGUUUAAUAUUUAAGAUCAGUAUCUGACUCAGUGACGACAUUUUUAUCAUGCGUUCAUAUUUCAAUUCUGACAAUGUUCAGUAUCUCAAUCUCAGUCAGGACGAAACUAUCUAUCAUAAUUUCGAAAUGCGAAUCUCAAAUGUACGAGACAACCAGCUACAAGAUCAGCAUCUCAUAAUUAUGAAAAUCCUAAAAGAUCCAGCUCUCUUGUUGAAACAGGAACCAUCUACCAUCCCUUCAAUCUCUACUUUUCUUUAGGAAUAAACGCAGAGGUGAGGGCGGGGAUCUCAAGUUUGGUCGGAUUAUUAAACUUUACGGACUUUAUGCAACUGCAGCAGAACGGACGUCCGGGAAAACGUCUUUCUCGUGUCUUUAGAAAAAGCCAUUUCUCAGUUAAACUAACGAAACCCAGCCUGCAGAGCCAACAGUCACGCCUCGCACUUCAGCUCCCGCGUCCGUCUUCAGCUUGCUAACGAAAUGUUUUGGGGUUUUUUUGGUCAUAGUUGUAGAAAGUUUUGCUUAUCACCGUCCGGGUUUCAGCCGAGGUUUUAAAAACUGCAAAGUAUACUUUUCUCGAUGUUUUACUUCAAUGUGAAAGAGGUCAGAGGUACUGCAUCUUUGUGAAAUAUGAAAUAUAUCAUCAAAGUAUAUCAAAGCACAAUGUAUAAUUAAUGUCUUUAGAAUACAAACGGGGGAAGGCGACGACACCCCCGGUCCUUUUCUUUUCCUGUCUCUGGCCAUGCUGUAAAUAGAUGCAUGUUUUUUUCCUGUGAUCCAGUGCUUUUUGUACAGAAACAGUCUAAUAAAGAUUACAUUUGGCUUGAAA